GCGGCUGGUGCAGCGAAGGGUGAAUCUAGGCCACUUGGUCAGGGUGGGGCUGCCAUAAACAGGUUCCCACCCGGCAGAAAAACUCUCUCUCAGAGCAUCCUGAGCAGACGCUGUCUCAGGCCAGGCACCUGUGAGUCGCUGGCGUCCGCACGGAGAAGAAACGCGAUAGAAGAGUAGCGUAAGAGAUAGGUCAAACAGAAGAGUGAAACAUUUGAACAGACCGUAAGAUGUCUAGUGAAACUGAGUGUUCCCUGGCCAGGAAGAUCCCGCCCUCAGAAAGGCUUGCGGGAGGCGGCAGGAUGCCGUGUGGCAGGGUCUCUGAGUGUCUCCAGAUGCCCGUUACCAGCUGCAGCGGCGGGAGAAAUUACGGAGAGAGCCUGAAACAUGUAGAUAUUCAAACAAUCACUGCAUUUUAAAAACCUGCUGUUGUGAGUGAUGGUUGAGUCCACUGGACGGACAGAAGAAGAAGGAGGAGAAGAAGAAGAAGAAGAAGAAGGAGAAGGAGAAUGAGAAUUAGAAGGAGAAGAAGAAGAA